GACGAACGCUGGCGGCGUGUAUUAGGCAUGCAAGUCGAGCGACGAACCGGCUUCGGCCGGGGAAAGCGGCGGACGGGUGAGUAACACGUGGGUAACCUGCCCCGUGGUGGGGGAUAACCUGCCGAAAGGUGGGCUAAUACCACAUACCACCUCCGGUGAGAGUCCGGACGGUGAAAGCCGCAAGGCGCCACGGGAGGGGCCCGCGGCCGAUUAGCUAGUUGGUAGGGUAACGGCCUACCAAGGCGACGAUCGGUAGCUGGCCUGAGAGGGUGGUCAGCCACACGGGGACUGAGACACGGCCCCGACUCCUACGGGAGGCAGCAUG
rnacentral:rRNA from 1 species